rnacentral:rRNA from 1 species
AAUGGGGGAAACCCUGAUGCAGCGACGCCGCGUGAGCGAAGAAGGCUUUCGGGUCGUAAAGCUCUGUCCUAAGGGAAGAUAGUGACGGUACCUUAGGAGGAAGCCCCGGCUAACUACGUGCCAGCAGCCGCGGUAAUACGUAGGGGGCGAGCGUUAUCCGGAAUUAUUGGGCGUAAAGGGUUCGCAGGUGGUCCUUUAAGUCAGGUGUGAAAGGCAGUGGCUCAACCAUUGCAAGCACUUGAAACUGAAGGACUUGAGUACAGGAGAGGAAAGCGGAAUUCCUAGUGUAGCGGUGAAAUGCGUAGAUAUUAGGAGGAACACCAGUGGCGAAGGCGGCUUUCUGGACUGAAACUGACACUGAGGAACGAAAGCGUGGGGAGCAAA